AGGGUUUGAUCAUGGCUCAGAACGAACGCUGGCGGCGUGGAUAAGACAUGCAAGUCGAACGAGAAACUUACUUAGCUUGCUUUGAAAGUUUCUAGUGGCGAACGGGUGAGUAACACGUGAGUUACCUGCCCCGAAGCGGGGGAUAGCCUCUCGAAAGGGAGAUUAAUACCCCAUGUGAUCGUAAGAUUAAAGGCGGCUUCGGCUGUCGCUUCGGGAUGGGCUCGCGGCCUAUCAGCUAGUUGGUGAGGUAACUGCUUACCAAGGCGAUGACGGGUAGCUGGUCUGAGAGGACGACCAGUCACACUGGAACUGAGACACGGUCCAGACACCUACGGGUGGCAGCAGUCGAGAAUCAUUCGCAAUGGGCGAAAGCCUGACGGUGCGACGCCGCGUGGAGGAUGAAGGCCUUAGGGUCGUAAACUCCUGUCAUCAGGGAGUAGUGGCUUACGUAGUAACUGACGUGGGCAGUGAUAGUACCUGAAGAGGAAGGGACGGCAAACUUCGUGCCAGCAGCCGCGGUAAUACGAAGGUCUCAAGCGUUGUUCGGAUUUACUGGGCGUAAAGCGUCUGUAGGCGGAGUGGUAAGUCAGAUGUGAAAUCCCGGGGCUCAACCCCGGAACUGCAUCCGAUACUGCCACCCUAGAGGGUCGGAGGGGAGUCUGGAAUUCUCGGUGUAGCAGUGAAAUGCGUAGAUAUCGAGAGGAACACUAGUGGCGAAGGCGAGACUCUGGACGACACCUGACGCUGAGAGACGAAGGCCAGGGUAGC
rnacentral:rRNA from 1 species